rnacentral:tRNA from 1 species
GGGGGUGGAUCCGGCCUGGUGGCCGGCCCGGACUUCAAAUCCGGCCGUGAGGCAGCGUGCGUUGUCUCAGGUGUGUUCGAUUCGCACACAUCCCCGCCA